GCCGGUGUAUCUCAGUGGUAGAGCGUCAGUCUUGUAAACUGAAGGUUGACGGUUCGAUCCCGCCUUCCGGCU
rnacentral:tRNA from 1 species